CUGCCUUCCCAGUUCCCACAUAGGAAGCAGGGUUUUUGUAGACUUCGAGGGUCCCUGGCAAGAUGUCAAACUGAGAACACAGGUCUGGGCUGGCACUGAAGGUCCGUCUCCAGCUGCAUGUCCUCCAGCUUCAUAUACAGGCUGCCUAGUUUACGGGCAGGCUCCCCAUCCAAAGGCCAAGAUGACUGCCAAGCGUCCUGCUGAUUCAGAUUGCCCAGACAGAGAAAGUCUCCUAUUACUGCUGAUCCUAAACCCCCAUCUGAUUCUCCAAAGGGCUUCAUUAGCCUUGUGCCCAGUCCUAAAUCCACCAGUUCGCUUUGACAAGGUAGCAACAGUCAGGCUCCCUGCUUUCUCAGUGGCAAUGAAAAGUGGCCCACAACACCAGAAGCAGCAGUUGUCAUGGAGACCACGUGAAGCUCAGCAGCUCCACUGGGGCUCAAGGUUAGAGGAACUCCACGUAGUUCUCUGGGAUGAGGCCAGUCUUUCCAUUCAGAGUCCCCUCCAACCAGCCAGGCUCCUGAGAUGGAUGAACUGUACAGGAAGAGAGAGAGGAGAUGAGGUCACGGGCAGCCCAGGAGGUGGCUGUGCUGUGCACUGGAAGAUGUAGGAGACAGGGUCUCAAUCUGAUUUGAACGCACAGCAACCCUCUUGCUUCAGCAUUACAAGCCCUGGAAUUAGCAGCCUGAGCCACCAUGCACAGCCUGACCUAUCUGCUUUGUAUACUGAAGUCCACAGCCCUACUUCUCAUGUUCUCACAGAUCCUUUCUUCAUGCUGCAGACUCGGAAUGUUUCCCUUCUGUUCCACCCACAGCCUUCCUUACUUUUCUAUACUCUAGAGCUUUUCCUAUAAACAAGUCAAAAAGCUGUCUGCUUCUUCUACUGAACUUUCAAAGGCUCCCAUCCUUUUGGUUUUUUCCAACAACCACAGGAUCUAGAUCCAUUUCUGUUAUGGGAAAUACCAAGAGUGAAGAGAUGAAGGGAUGGGGAGAUCUGGCUGAGUCUGUAAAGAAUAACAUAGUGGGAAGGAAUAGAGGUGGAAUUGUGCACCUCAGUGAGGACUGUGUCUGGGGAGGUGGGGGUGUUACUACUUGUGAAACAGCUGUACAAGUACAGGUCAUUUUGGGGUGGGGCAGGGUACUCGCUCUAAAUGGAUUAGGAAAACUCCAAUUAUCCCAGAUUGUGUGGAGAGAAUGGAUUCCCCCCCCCCCUUUCCUUUCCUGGGCUAAUUAAGCGACUUCCUGAGCUUGUUUUAGAAAUGCACUUCCGCCCCAGCACUACUGUAUGGUUCUAGUUUCACUUUGUAGGGAAAGAAGAACAGAAACCUAUGGAAGGCAAUGGGGAGGAAACCAAAUCACAGGCUCCAAGGCUGCUAGAAGAGCUAAAGUAUGUAGAGGCAUUUCCACACUUCCUUAGGGGAAGACAUGGUCAGAUACCUAUUAGCUGUCCUUCAAAAACCUUGCCAAACUUCCUCCCACGAGUGAAGAACGAAACCUCAGACCUGCAGAGAGUACACAGAGAAGAGUCUGAAGCGCUUAGGGGUGACUUGGCCUCUCCAGGUAUGAAAGGGCUUUCUAGGCCACUUAUAAGAAACACUGAGUAGGCUUGCCGUUUGCCUGGCUGCCAGCUGAGGCUGUCUAGACCCCUUCCAGUCUGCACCUCUACACCGGUGGCAGGAUCUUUACUGCAGUUUCUGGUAUGGAUUAAAGACCCCACUGCACCGUUAGUGUAUUGUUAACUCCCAGUGCAGCCAAGAAGUAAGGCACUCUCUCCGUAAAUCACAGCAAAGGGGUCGGGGCAAUGGCACAGGUGGAGAAAGCCUUUGGUCUGUACAUCUGAGGACUGAGUUCAACUCCAUGUAAAAAGCCAGCUGGGGCAGGGCGAUUCCGCCACCCCAGCACCUGGAGGAAGAGACAAGUAUCUACACCCAAAAAGCUUCAGGAAACCCUAGAUGUUCAGAACCAAAAGUAAACAAAAUAAACUAAUUCCCUUGGGGGGAAAAAAAAAACUGAUUUAGAAAGAGAAAGAUCUGAACAAAAUAAAGGCAACCGAAACAGCUCUGCCCCUCGGCAGCAUGGCUGCUUGGAGGGUGGAUGCGUCCACCUCCUCCCACAGCUGUUCAAACAGCACAGGUACCUACCUAGGUGGUUAUCUAUGAACCCGAGUGGAAUUGUCAGACUAUGGCUAGCCUCGGACGAAACCAGGAUGGCCUAGAUUGAGAUGGGUCACCCGGGCUUCAGGGGGUGAAACAGUCUUUGCAAGGGUCUGCUGACUCGUGCUAGACAAAGCACCAACUUUAUCUAUGUGCUCAUGGGAUCUGUGGGUUCCUUAGCCCGAGGGCACCUGCAUUGCCACUGGUUUACAGAAGUAAAAAGCUAUGACUUUUGUGUGACAAAUGCCUUGUAAUAAAGGUGGUAGUUAAGAAUCCACGUCUGAGCUCUCGUCAGCUGAAGGAGGGAGCACAGAUGCCCCACUGAACUCUGUUCUCUGGCUUUAUACAGGGUUCAGGUGAAGCCACAGCUUAUUCAUAAACAGCAUUCAGGACCUGAUUCUACCUGAUCCUCCUAUAUCGUGAUUUCUGGAGAACUCACAGCAUACCUCACAUGGGGUUCAUCGGUCCUAUUGUACUGAAGUGACAAAGCUUUGCUUUGCUAUCUGACUUCUUAUCAACUAUCUGGCUCAACAACCUUUAGCAACUCCCCCAUCCACUAUGACACAGCCAAACUCUUUAAAGGGUGAGUGUCAUGGGGGCAGGUUGCACAUGUUCACAAUUUCAGACAAAUUAAUGUGGACAUAGUCACAUGGGUAAGACCAGAAUCUGAACCGAGAGUAAAGCCUUCCUCUGCUCUAAGCUGCUUUCCUUCAGUUGGAGGAGGUGGCUCUUAAUGGUAAGAAGAGGUUGAGUGCACAGUAAAUAGCAGAAGCUUCACUACCAGGUGCUCCACCUGUAUUAGUUUCAGUGUGGAACUAAAGCCAAUUCUGCUAGUAUCCUCAUUUACAGAUGAAAACCCGAGGCUCCAAAAGGCUAAGCAGCCAGCUGAACAGUUCCAGGGCUGGGAGGUAUGGAGGCCCACCAGAGCCCCAGGACAUCUGACCAGUCUCAACUGUUCUUAUGCUUGCUCAGGACUCUGACUGGUGAGACACUCAGUAAGUGGUAGGCAGACAAACCUGCACCAGUGCCCAAUGUGCUAUACACACAGGAUGCAGUACUAGGAACUGCCUGGGUGGCAAUCUUGCCUAGUGAGCAUAUCAUAUAAGCUGCACCUGGCUUGGGCCUAACUUCGCUCUUUGCUAUACACUUGGGUACAAUACAGGUUUCCUGGCAGAACCUGGUACAACACAGGUGUCCUGUUUACGAUGGACAAUGGGCAAGUGUGUGACCAAGAUCGCUAAUGGCUGGCUACUCCCAGAGGGAAGAAGCCUCCACUGGAGGAAGCUAACAGAUGUAAUGGGUUAUUAGCAGGCAUUUACUCAUUACACAAAUGUCUUAUAAGUACCUAUGAGGGGCCAGACACUGUGCUAGGUUCUCAUAUAUGUCCCCUUAGGGUAGUGACAGAUUAUCAAUAAACAUAGUGAAGGGGGGAGGGAGAGAAAGAAAGAAGGGGAGGAGAGGAGGGGAAAAAAGAUGGGGAUUUGGGUAGAGGGAAGGAACUCAGUUAGUUACAACCCAAAGGCUCUCAUGCUAUUAGCCAGGAGUGCUUAGAGCAGAUACAAGGCCCUAAGACACAGAAAAGCUAGAUGUGAUCUCAGAAUAGUACUCUAUAAACUCCCUAGAAAGGGCCACACAGUAUGGAAAACAUAAAAACAAAAAACCAUGGGGGUGGGGGUGUUCCAAUAAAACUUUAAUU
ensembl:antisense Gm15337 predicted gene 15337